UUCUACACAAUUGUAGACAUCAUGUAAAAAUGAUUAAUAAUUGUGUCCGUUAACUAUGUUUUCAAAUAUUCUGAGACUGUGUUUCAGAGAUGAGGCAUGAGAGAUGGCUGGAGUCUAGGAUAGAGAAGAAUAUGAAUUGCAUUCAGUCUGUGGCAGAAGGGAAGAACAUAGGAGACGAUUCCCCAGUUCACUUGAUUUUUACCUGAUGAUUUACAAGAUAUUAUUACAUACAAGAACCUGAACAACAUCUCACCAGCAAUUUGGAGUAGAUUUUUAGUAUUGCCUUCUCAACUUGCACAGUUUGAUAAGAAAUUUCCUUCUGGAAGAGAUACACAUGGGAUGGUCUCCAGAGAACAGCUAUUUGAAAUCAAGUCCUUCCAUCUCUCCAGAAAACAGUGUACAGGAACUGAAAGCUGCCAAUAACCAAAUAAGCUAAGAUCUUUCUCCAGUUGAACCUUCAGAUAAGACCCCCAUCUCUUGCUUACAACUUGAUUCCAGCUUUUCAAGAGAUUCUUAAGAAGAGAACCCAUUUAUGCCAUCGAUAAAUUCUUGAUCCAUAGAAAUGGUGAGAAAAUAAAGAUUGAAAUUUGGGUUGAUUCCAUUCUCUUGCCAUCAAAUCAUAAGGGUACCAGGCAAUUAAUACUUACUAAUGGCAUCAGAAUCUCCUUCUGAGAGUAACACCCAAACAACUUAUCAUACAGUGAAAGAAAGAAGGAAGGAAGGAAGGAAGGAAGGAAGGAAGGAAGGAAGGAAGGAAGA